rnacentral:rRNA from 1 species
AGCUUUUUGGUGAGGUAAAAGCUCACCAAGGCGACGAUCCUUAGCUGGUCUGAGAGGAUGAUCAGCCACACUGGGACUGAGACACGGCCCAGACUCCUACGGGAGGCAGCAGUAGGGAAUCUUGCGCAAUGGGCGAAAGCCUGACGCAGCAACGCCGCGUGGGGGAUGAAGGCUCUCGGGUUGUAAACCCCUUUCAGUGGGGACGAAAUUGACGGUACCCACAGAAGAAGCCCCGGCCAACUACGUGCCAGCAGCCGCGGUAACACGUAGGGGGCAAGCGUUGUCCGGAUUUAUUGGGCGUAAAGAGCUCGUAGGCGGUUCGGUAAGUCGGGUGUGAAACCUCCAGGCUCAACCUGGAGUCGCCACUCGAUACUGCUGUGACUAGAGUCCGGUAGGGGAGCGUGGAAUUCCUGGUGUAGCGGUGAAAUGCGCAGAUAUCAGGAGGAACACCAGCGGCGAAGGCGGCGCUCUGGGCCGGAACUGACGCUGAGGAGCGAAAGCGUGGGUAGCAAACAGGAUUAGAUACCCUGGUAGUCCACGCCGUAAACGUUGGGCACUAGGUGUGGGACCCUCUCAACGGGUUCCGUGCCGUAGCUAACGCAUUAAGUGCCCCGCCUGGGGAGUACGGCCGCAAGGCUAA